rnacentral:lncRNA from 1 species
CUCGCUGCUACUGUCGCAGCACGAACGCGGAUGGUGAUAUCCUUCCGCCGUCUCCUCAGGACGGGCUGACGCGCUCAGCCGAGCCAGGCCGCGGCGGGAGGAGGAGGGCGGCGUAGAAGAUAGCGAGACUUUUCCAGCCACAGGCUCAGGCUGUGCCAUCUGAACCUGCUUCUUGCAGCAUUUGGUACUUCUUGUUUUGUGUUGCUGCUGGCCUUGUAAUGCCAGAGAUCACCACAGGAAAUAUUUGCAUGGCACGCCUCGUGUGCUGCAUGACUGAUCCAUACCUCAGCAAAACUUGGGAUAUUUUCUAGGUCUUCACAAUGACAGAAGACAAGUCUCUCUGGGAUUCACACUCUUCUGCUGGGGUUUUCUCACCAUUCUCCAUGUUAACAUGAACCAACAGCUGGGUUUAAGAGAUCUGUUAUAAAUAGUAACAUCAUGCUGCUAGCAAGCUUCUUGGAAAGUAAAGAAAAUACGUUAUUUAAUGCACUCUGACAUUUGCUUUUCCUCUCCUAUUCCUAAGCUGCAUUUCGGUAAACAUCCGUAACAACAAAUGCACAGAAGUUGACUUCUUCACAUAGACAUAACAAGUGCUGCCUUGAGCCCAGGAGAUGAUAUCCAGAACAGCUUACCUCCCUUCAGCCAGGCAGCUGGCAAACUCUCACAGUAGGAAAAGGAGUCAGAACGUGGAUGGAAAUUCCUGAUUCCUACAGCGUCCAAGAUUACAACCUUUGGCAUUUUAUUUUCAUGGCUGUUCUGUGUUGCUGCAGAAAACUUCCUCCUUUUGCCAUAUCUUUCCAUUCAUUAAAAUUGCAGCUUGCAAUUAAAUAUUCUGACAUAACAUAGCUGAGAUUUUUUGGCAGCAGCCUUAACCAGAGGUUUUCAGAGUUUCCUGCAGACAGCUUUAAAUUUUCAUAUCCUCAUGAAUGCUUGCCACCUUCUUUUAAUAACUUGAAAAACUAACCUUCUCUUAGGAACUUCAUUGUUGCCGUAUUUCCCCAGCAUUCAUUUACUGCCUUCAGAAAUAUGUCAUGCACAUGUAUAUUUAUAGAGAGCGCAGUGUACAUAUGCACCGUGUAGUUUGACAUCUCAUAGAGAACACACAGAUUGCAUGGUAGAUCUAAAGAAAUAUUCUUACAUUCAAUAUUUUCUUUAUUAAAACGCAUUUCUCUCUUCCCGUGGUAUCGUAUCAUUUCACUCAUUUAAGAAAUAUUUACUACAUUAUUCAAAAACUUCAGCCCUUGAUCUGUUAUUAACUUCGUAGCCUUACAGAUUCUGACUUUCAUAUACGGCAACACUAAACCAUUAUUUCUAUGCAAUGAAAUAUUUCUUAGGAUAGAGUUUGACCUUUUUGCAAAGAGCUGGGAGUCUCAAGGAUUUUCAAGUUAUUUGCGUUCCUAAGGUGCAGAAUAUAUUUUAUCUGCUGGAAGCAUGUUCAGACAACGCUCAUCUCUAAUACAGACUUGAAAUUGAUUUUAAAAAGGGCCUUUCUAAUGUUCAAACUAGCCCUAAUCUCUUUUUUCUUCUAACAUUACCUGGCAAAUAAAUUCUUAAAGGGAUAUUAUCAAUUUAAGAACUAUGCUUUAGUCUGGAAAAUUCUCCAAGAGAUUAAAGAGAAGACAUCCUUUUUCCUGUAGGUUUAAUUUCUAUAUUUGACUGCAGUAUGUGUGGUCAGUAUCUCAUGCUGUUAGGAAACAAAAGAGACAGAAAUAGAUAUAGGAGACCAUAAUACCUAAAAAGUCUUCAAACUGCUUUUUAAAGUAGAUGUGAAGUUGGUGGGACCUCGUGACAAAUGACUUGUGGAACUCUUGAAAGGCAGGUAACUCUGUCUUGCUCAGAGCAUCCUUGGCUCCCACUGCAGACAGCAAGUGCUGCUCUUAACAUGUAAAUCUAAGCAUUAUUUUUCCUAGACUUGAUCUGUUUUGCUGUAAACUCUAUUGAUCAAAUUGCACACGAGACAUAUGCUACUGUCCUGGUCUUGUAAACUUCACACACAGAGCCCACAAAAGGUCUGCGUGAUCUGUUAUAAUGUGCAACAUAUAGCAAAGAAACUUUUAUAGCAGUUAACUUCUGAAAUAAAGUUUAAUCUUUAAACUUGGGCAGUAUACAAGGUGCAUUUUUGGCAUUUUAUGAUGGUAUCCAGACUCCAAAGUACAAAUGUUGCUGUGAUUUAUUUUCAGUUAUUUCUUUGGGGUUACACGUGGGAUGACUGAUCUGUGUCCCAAAGGAUUUAUAGAAGCCAUCAGCCUCCCUAAUCGUUCAGGCACUUUAUCAGGUAAAGGCAGAGAUGCCCAUUCAUCUUAUGCUGGCGGGUUUGCUCUAAUUUGGAAAACAAGACUUAAAGAAAUGACCUGUGUUAACAUGGAUUGGCUGGUGUGCAUUUCUGAGUUUUGUAUCAGAGCAAACGGUAUCAGGCAUUUAUUAAUGGACGUAUUGUCCUCUUGGCUGUGAUAUAGGAUUAUCGCAUGCUUUCCCAAAACUUCCCUGAAAAUACGCUCAAUUCUAAUUAUUAAAAGCAGCAGCAUAUUUGCUUUGAUUCCUUCCUGUGGUUUCAUUUGUCUGCCAGCUCAGAAGACAAACUGGUAUUCAGACAGCUCACCUGCUCUCUAUGGUUACUUGGUGAUAAACUAUUUCACAGACCCUUCCUGUGGCAUCUAGGGCAAGUGUUUUGAAACAUAGCUCCAGUACACGCAUAAACGUGUCAUCUUGUGCUAAAAUGCCACUUCAGUGCCAAGCCAAGCCAGCUGGCUUUGGACAGAAAGUUCUUUUCUGCUUACGUGUGCAAACUUUAUCACUUCCCUGUCCUUUUUCUCUUGCUGUCACAGUACUGCAGAGGUGGUGGCGGCUGAUGGCAGAGUGAGAAGCAGUGUUCAAAAUGUGUCCACGUUAGUCGAGAUAAUAAAGCCUGGUCCUGCAGCCAUGUGUUGAAUCCAUCUGCCUUAAAAAGUAUCUCACAUAAUCUAAUCAAAUGUCUUUCCUUGUAUUACAUGGAAGCAGAGAAAGAUGAACUCGAGUUUCAGUUACUACAUGAAAAGAAAAAAAGCAUCC